rnacentral:rRNA from 1 species
CCCGCUGAACUUAAGCAUAUCAAUAAGCGGAGGAAAAGAAACUAACAAGGAUUCCCCUAGUAACGGCGAGUGAAGAGGGAAAAGCUCAAAUUUUGAAUCUGGCGUCAUCUGGCGUCCGAGUUGUAAUCUAGAGAAGUGUUUUCCGUGGCGGACCGUGCACAAGUCUCCUGGAAUGGGGCAUCAUAGAGGGUGAGAAUCCCGUAUAUGGCAUGGACUACCGUUGCUCUGUGAUACACUCUCAACGAGUCGAGUUGUUUGGGAAUGCAGCUCUAAAUGGGUGGUAAAUGCCAUCUAAAGCUAAAUACUGGCGAGAGACCGAUAGCGAACAAGUACCGUGAGGGAAAGAUGAAAAGCACUUUGGAAAGAGAGUGAAACAGUACGUGAAAUUGUUGAAAGGGAAACGCUUGAAGUCAGGCGCACCCUCGGGGACUCAGCCUUGCUUCUGCAUGGUUUACUUCGCCUUGGGUGGGUCAACGUCAGUGUUGGUCAGAGGGGAAAGACUUGGGGAAGGUAGCAGGAUUUAUUCUGUGUUAUAGCCUCUUGUUGUAUACUUUGACUGGAACUGAGGACCGCAGCGCGCCUUUACGGCCGGGGCUUGCCCACGUACGCGCUUAGGAUGUUGGCAAAAUGGCUUUAAGCGACCCGUCUUGAAACACGG